ACCCAUACUUUAAUAGAUCAUCAGUAAAUAUAAUAAAAUAGUAAUACCCUCCUUUGGUGCCUAUAUUUAUAGGUCUACAUACAUCACUAUGUAUUAGACCUAGAACAUCAUUGGCUUGUUCACCCUUUCAGUAAAGGAUGACAUGGUCAUCUUUUCAAUAAGAUAUUACUCACAAGUUGGCAAUGAUUUAUAAUAAUUGA
rnacentral:lncRNA from 1 species